rnacentral:rRNA from 1 species
UACGGGGGGAGCAAGCGUUGUUUGGAUUUACUGGGCGUAAAGGGCGCGUAGGCGGCCAGUGCAAGUCAGUUGUGAAAUCUCCGAGCUUAACUCGGAAAGGUCAACUGAUACUGCUCGGCUAGAGUGCGGAAGGGGCAACUGGAAUUCUUGGUGUAGCGGUGAAAUGCGUAGAUAUCAAGAGGAACACCUGCGGCGAAGGCGGGUUGCUGGGCCGACACUGACGCUGAGGCGCGAAAGCUAGGGGAGCGAACGGG